UGUUUGCUAGUUGUUUGCUAGUUGUUUGCUAGUUGUUUGCUAGUUGUUAUCAGACUCGUUUCUCGCUAAAGAUGAUGCAGAGUCUGCUGUGUUGACUCCUCCCAUGGCUUGUUCUUUCGACCCAGUGACUUCAAUGAAAAUUCAGAGCACAGAUGUUCAGUUUGCACUUUACUGGCUAUAGGUGGAGCUACCGGGUAAUUGGAAUUGGAGGCCUGGGGAGAAAAAGGACCAAUGAUGAGCAAGAGCUGACCAGAGGAGGCGGAGCCCUCCAUUUAAAAUUUAAAAGCAGCUCCGGAAGUCCCCGUAAGGGGGAGGAAAGAAGGAGGGAGCCUGUUGUUUGCUAGUUGUUUGCUAGUUGUUUUGGUUAUCCUAGCUCACCUGGUUUAGGAACAGGUAAGAAUGUGCGCGCACCUACAUUCCACCACGUAGGUUUUUCUAUUGUUUAGACACCCUAGUUAGAGGGCAGGUGCCACCCACUGUAUUUUUUUGUAGCUUAGCCUAGAGUAGUCAGCUAGUCUGUUCCUGCCUGUUAGUUAGGUUAAGCUUCCCAAAAUACAGCCUAGUGUAGACCCUUUUGUUGUGUUAAUUUCUUUGGCACUGUCCAUGUUCUUUUGCCAGUGUGAGACUAGUCUUCUUGACUCUGUAAAAGCACGCUUGGGAUUUGUUUCUUACCUUACUGCACGUGACUAUUAAACAUUAACAACUCUAA